GCUAUGAUUCUUUCGCUAGCUUGAGUAAAUUCCUGCUCCAGCGGUGCGUGUUUCCCCACGCGUGAACCAUUUUCUGAAGUCU
rfam:Citrobacter rodentium ICC168, complete genome